AGAGUUUGAUCCUGGCUCAGGAUGAACGCUGGCGGCGUGCCUAACACAUGCAAGUCGAACGGAGUUAUGAGAGCUUGCUUUUAUAACUUAGUGGCGGACGGGUGAGUAAUGCGUGAGCAACCUGCCUUUCAGAGGGGGACAACAGUUGGAAACGACUGCUAAUACCGCAUAACGUAUUCGGAUGGCAUCAUCUGGAUACCAAAGGAGCAAUCCGCUGAAAGAUGGGCUCACGUCUGAUUAGUUAGUUGGCAGGGUAACGGCCUACCAAGACUGCGAUCAGUAGCCGGACUGAGAGGGUGAUCGGCCACAUUGGGACUGAGACACGGCCCACACUCCUACGGGAGGCAGCAGUGGGGAAUAUUGCACAAUGGGGGAAACCCUGAUGCACCAACGCCGCGUGAGUGAUGACGGUCUUCGGAUUGUAAAGCUCUGUCUUCAGGGACGAUAAUGACGGUACCUGACUAAGAAGCCCCGGCUAACUACGUGCCAGCAGCCGCGGUAAUACGUAGGUGGCAAGCGUUAUCCGGAUUUACUGGGUGUAAAGGGAGCGUAGACGGCAUGGCAAGUCUGAAGUGAAAGCUCGGGGCUCAACCCAGAAACUGCUUUUGAAACUGUUUCCCUUGAGUAUCGGAGAGGCAGGCGGAAUUCCUAGUGUAGCGGUGAAAUGCGUAGAUAUUAGGAAGAACACCGGUGGCGAAGGCGGCCUGCUGGACGACAACUGACGCUGAGGCGCGAAAGCGUGGGGAGCAAACAGGAUUAGAUACCCUGGUAGUCCACGCUGUAAACGAUGAAUACUAGGUGUGGGGGGACUGACCCCUUCCGUGCCGCAGUUAACACAAUAAGUAUUCCUCCUGGGGAGUACGAUCGCAAGAUUGAAACUCAAAGGAAUUGACGGGGGCCCGCACAAGCAGUGGAUUAUGUGGUUUAAUUCGACGCAACGCGAAGAACCUUACCAGGAUUUGACAUCCCGCUAACGAAGUAGAGAUACAUUAGGUGCCUUUCGGGGAAAGCGGAGACAGGUGGUGCAUGGUUGUCGUCAGCUCGUGUCGUGAGAUGUUGGGUUAAGUCCCGCAACGAGCGCAACCCUUACGGUCAGUUGCUACGCAAGAGCACUCUGGCCGGACUGCCGUUGACAAAACGGAGGAAGGUGGGGACGACGUCAAAUCAUCAUGCCCCUUACGCCCUGGGCUACACACGUACUACAAUGGCGCAAACAAAGGGAAGCAAAACCGCGAGGUAGAGCAAAACCCAUAAAAGGCGUCCCAGUUCGGACUGCAGGCUGCAACUCGCCUGCACGAAGUUGGAAUUGCUAGUAAUCGCGGAUCAGCAUGCCGCGGUGAAUACGUUCCCGGGCUUUGUACACACCGCCCGUCA
rnacentral:rRNA from 1 species